GACACGUAUAAGAUGCAUUAUCGAUUGGCUGUGACGAGUGAGGCCCUAACUAUGAUUAGAUGCAAGGCUAUAGCUAUGCGUUGUGCCGAUUGGGCUUGGACCUCUGCUGAACGGAGCGAUAAUCGGUCUUGCGGGACCACUAACUCUAGGCUCUAAUUGGUGAGGGUUUAUUAUAACCUGCGAUCAACCUAGCGGGGUAUUAUGAUUCGACAUACCUGUUUAUUAUCCUGUAUGACAUGUUCGGAAGUGUUUAAGAAAGACCCCUACUUGAACCUAAAACAAGUCAUAAUAAUUGAGUUACAACCUAUUCCCCAGGAGAUGACCAUAGAAAUUAUGCUG